rnacentral:rRNA from 1 species
CCUACGGGUGGCAGCAGUGGGGGAUAUUGCACAAUGGGGGAAACCCUGAUGCAGCGACGCCGCGUGGGCGAAGAAGUAUUUCGGUAUGUAAAGCCCUAUCAGCAGGGAAGAAGAAAUGACGGUACCUGAGUAAGAAGCACCGGCUAAAUACGUGCCAGCAGCCGCGGUAAUACGUAUGGUGCAAGCGUUAUCCGGAUUUACUGGGUGUAAAGGGAGCGUAGACGGCGAUGCAAGUCUGAAGUGAAAGGCGGGGGCCCAACCCCCGGACUACUUUGGAAACUGUAUGGCUGGAGUGCAGGAGAGGUAAGUGGAAUUCCUAGUGUAGCGGUGAAAUGCGUAGAUAUUAGGAGGAACACCAGUGGCGAAGGCGGCUUACUGGACUGUAACUGACGUUGAGGCUCGAAAGCGUGGGGAGCAAACAGGAUUAGAUACCCCAGUAGUC